CCCUAAGAGUUACCCGAAGCUCGGCAUCCGCGAUUGUCUAAGGGGCCUCCGAGACGUUCGGGCAGCGUCAGUCUUCAGCCGCCAAGCCGAGGAGAUCUGGGAAGGAGUCGGUGGGGAGCUUUGGGUUUGAGCUCCAGGAGCUCCGGAAGUGGCGAUGAGAGUCGGGCAGUCAGACUUCCAGUGAGGGCCCGCACAGGCGGGGCAUGGCUUAGGAGGAAUCCCAGGCUGCAGGCAUUCCUUGGCCCAGUGGCCAGGUUUUCAUCGCUUGAAGCAAAGUCCCAGAGGGGCUGUUGGAUGUUGCGUUUAGAUGCCUUGAAGUUCUUGCAGGUAGGCAGUGCAGCUGGGGUUUGUCUUAUGGCGGAGGCAAGCAUCUGUAGUUCUGAAAUGCGCUGUCGCCGGGCAGUCUCUUCCCUAUUAUUGAACACCUUGAAGGCGAGGUUGAUUAAUUCCUGUUGUGGGAUCUGAGAGCCAGACUCUAAUUUUUGAAGUUUCUUUCUACUGUCAGAAACUGACUGGGUAAUAAAAUGCAUGUUAAGAAUAAGGCGGCCUUCUAUCCCUUCAGGGUCUAGUGCUGUAUAUCGCCUGAGGGUGGCAGGUAGACAGGCCAUAAACUGAGCUGGAUUUUUAUCUUUGUUCUGAGUGGUUUUUUUUGUUUUUGUUUUUGUUUUUUAGUUUGUCAUAAUUGACGGCUUUAUAUGCAGCCUUCUGAAGCCCUUUAACUAGGCAAGAGAUCAUGUAGUCCCGCCUGGCUAUGCCUGGGUCCCAGGGCCUGGUAAGUCCAUCCGGGGUCUUCACAGGGUACUGCCCUAGCACCUUACUGGAGGCCAGGCUUACGGCACCGGCGGUUAUCAGCCUAAGAUUGAGCUAGGAUCCAAACCCACUCUCACUCCUCAGGAGCGAGGGUAGAGGCUUCAAAAUGGUGAGAAGAUAAUGAGAAAAGGAAAGAAUCUAUGGAUAAGAAGUAAGGAGAAAAUCGUUGACAAUUGUCAAAAUCUUGCCUCAUUACUUCUCCAGGAAUGAUGUCUAUCCUUUUCUUCAAACACAUUCUGUAUUCUAGGAAUUCUGAAUUAUUUUGGAUUAGCCAAACUCACUAUAAACUCUACUGUAAAGAAGGCAUUCCAAGAGAAGGAACAACGUGAAAAGAAACAAACUCAUGAAGGCCUGAGGCAUGAGCAUGUGUUGAGCAUUUGGGAAAGAACAAAGUCAUGUUAUAAGACCCUAUAAUGCUUGGCAAAAGAUAGUGGCAAGAAAGCUGGGGAAAAAAAGCUGGGAUGACAUGAUAAAGAAUUUUAUAUUUCAGUCAAAAUAAAUGUCAUUUCAUUGGAGCUUAA